ensembl:lncRNA
GGGAGGGGCUGAAGCCGUCUCUGGCGGAGAGUGUGCGUCAUGACGUCAUGGCGCAGAAUACUUAUAUACAGGCGCCUGGGCGCCAUCUCGGUCUUUCGUGGCUGCGAGCCGGGUGUUCUCCGUUUUUGUAUGCUGCUAAGAAACGCGGCAGGCAUGACUCCAGUGUGGAUUUUGAUGGCUUCUGGUGGGCAGUUGUGUACCAGAAGGAUGACAACUACUGCUGUGGCAGCCUGAUGGAUGCACAUGGGAUAGAAGAGCAAACAGCUAUUAAUUGACUGCUGCUCUGCACAGCUUUUGGGAUCCUAGCUUCCUGACAAGGGAUCAAACCUGUGACUGCUGCAGUGGAAGCUCAGCGCUAACCAUUGGACCCCAGGAAAUUCUCCAGCUUUCUAUU